UUGGUUUUCUGGCGUUUAGCUGUGUGGUCUACUGUUUAACAACAUGAGAUUUCUGUUAACAUUUCUUACAAUUUGCAUUCAACUCACUGUGAUGUGGUUGCAACUGCCGCAAGCUGAAGCGAAGAAGAGAGGAGUAUGCUGUCUGGCAACAAUGGUUUGUUACAGCAUCAAAACCGAUAGACAAUGCCAUUGGUUUCCCAAUGGCUAUCGUGUGAAUUACCAAGAUCCAACAUUCUGUUAUAGUGAGCUCUGUGGCAGCCUCAAACUUCCGACACCUUGCUGCGGCGUUAGAAGUUGCAACAUUUUCUGUUGCAAUUGUGACAAGUGCUGGAAAUAUAAUAAUCUCGUAGCCAUCGACUUUCGGAACAAAUAUUACGGCAAAGCUUUCAAUGUGUUUGAACGCGCAACAAUCCCUAAGUUACCUGGUCAUAUAUACCCCCAUCGCCCCAAUCUUUUAGGUUAAUGCUCGAUUGUUGAAAUAUCUACUUAGUCUAGAAAUUCAUUUAUAUUUUCGAUUACAGUUACCUGGUCAUGUAUACCCCAAAACUGUACAAAAUUAAAUGUGAAAUAUAUUAGUCUUAAAAGGUAUUUCGAAUAAAUUCAGUUGCAGUUGAGCGAUGUUUUAAAAA